rnacentral:misc_RNA from 1 species
ACUGGGUGAUACCGCGGAACACGUAGUUGCUCAUGACCGCUGCGCCGAAGGCGACGUCCCAGGGUGACACGACCUCAACCGGCGGCGCCUUCUUGUAGACCUUGCCCAGAUCGGCCGCCGACGCCGAACCCAGACCCAUCGCAGCGACCGUAACUGCUGCGAUCGACAAACUUACUUUCUUCAUGACGAUCCCCAUCAUCGUUUACAAUUCAGUCCGAUUGCCGAAGGUCCGAGAGACAAGCGUUAAUCGACUGCGCGAAUUCGUUUCGUGGCAUCAAUGUGAUGGGCAAUAUCUUUUGCGUGAAGCAAAAAACCCAAGCAAAUGCUGCCUUUUUAGGCGUUUCAGGGCUUUGGGGUGUUGUUCUGCCGCAGUGUUGCAUUCCGAC